rnacentral:rRNA from 1 species
AUUGAACGCUGGCGGCAGGCCUAACACAUGCAAGUCGAGCGGAUGAAGAGAGCUUGCUCUCUGAUUCAGCGGCGGACGGGUGAGUAAUGCCUAGGAAUCUGCCUGGUAGUGGGGGACAACGUUUCGAAAGGAACGCUAAUACCGCAUACGUCCUACGGGAGAAAGCAGGGGACCUUCGGGCCUUGCGCUAUCAGAUGAGCCUAGGUCGGAUUAGCUAGUUGGUGAGGUAAUGGCUCACCAAGGCGACGAUCCGUAACUGGUCUGAGAGGAUGAUCAGUCACACUGGAACUGAGACACGGUCCAG